GAAAAUAAGCUAUUUUUUUUUAAAAUGCAAAAUCAAUAUAAAGUCGUUUUUUUGGGGUGAAACAUGACAGCGUUUGUGAGAUUCACCGUCUUGCCUGCCUUCACAUAAUUGAAGCGAUCAGCCGAUCAUGUUUCAUUUCUAUCUUUGUGAUGUUGAGUUUCAGGGAGUCACUUUUAUAGAGUCAGUCUGUUAAGGGUCCUGUACAAACUGAGAAUCCAGUGUUUGGUCCUUAAUUGAUCACUAUUAAAACAUUAUGGUACCUUGAUGCCUCAUAACUGCUGUGAAUAAACCCGUUUCAUAAUAUAUUCCCAGAGAUAAAUAGUCGUGUGUGAACAGUGAACUUUAAGAGUAUUAGUGGCCUUUUUAUUACACCAGGACAGGUUUAUUUGGUGAACAUGCCAUCCCCCCCCCCCAAAAAAAUCGUUGUGUUUUAUGAUUUGUAAUUCAUGUAGUGCAUCGGUUUUAUCUCCAGCCAUCAGCCACCAUAAUAAAACAGUAUAUAAAGACAGUGGCAGUGCAUACUAGUACCGUUUUGUAAUGCAGUAUUACACUACAAUGUGAGUUUGUGAUGAAACAUCUUCCAGUGGGCUGUGAGAGGCUUUGCUAUUUGUCCAUAGAGUUCAAAUAAAUCAUUACAGCUUUUGAUGAUAGGCGUAACCCUGAAAGGACAUGCUUAAUGCUGACUUAGUUGCUAAGAAAAAAAGUGUUUAGCUACACCAACUGCAAGACUAACAGUAGCAGAUGAGUUUUUCUGUUGGCUAAAUAGGAUUUAAAAUUCUCACUUUCUUUUCAGCAUCUAAUUGUGCUGUAUAAUAUCAGUGGGGUAUGUGUAAUGUCUCCUGUUGUACAGAUGAAGCACAAUGCCAAAUACAGAACAUGUUGUAAAAUGGAUGCGUUGUACAGACACGGCUUCUGAAUUCAUAGUUUCCUGGUUGAUUUAUGUAAAUAAAUGUAUUUUUCCAAUGCC